rnacentral:rRNA from 1 species
UAAUACCCUAUAGAUUACAGAUGCUGGAAUGCUCUGUAGUCCAAAGUUCCGGCGCCUCAGGAUGGAUCUGCGGCCGAUUAGGUUGUUGUUGGGGUAAUGGCCCAACAAGCCAGUGAUCGGUACGGGUUGUGGGAGCAAGAGCCCGGAGUUGGAUUCUGAGACACGAAUCCAGGCCCUACGGGGCGCAGCAGGCGCGAAAACUUUACAAUGCGGGCAACCGUGAUAAGGGAACCUCGAGUGCCUGUAUAUGCAGGCUGUCCAGGUGUCUAAAACACACCUGAAGAAAGGGCCGGGCAAGACCGGUGCCAGCCGCCGCGGUAAUACCGGCGGCUCGAGUGGUGGCCACUUUUAUUGGGCUUAAAGCGUUCGUAGCUGGGUUGUUAAGUCUCUUGGGAAAUCCGGCAGCUUAACUGUCGGGCGUCUAAGGGAUACUGGUAAUCUUGGAACCGGGAGAGGUGAGGGGUACUUCGGGGGUAGGAGUGAAAUCCUGUAAUCCUCGAGGGACCACCUGUGGCGAAGGCGCCUCACCAGAACGGCUUCGACAGUGAGGGACGAAAGCUGGGGGAGCAAACCGGAUUAGAUACCCGGGUAGUCCCAGCCGUAAACUAUGCGCGUUAGGUGU